AACCCUAAUUUCUCCAGUAAGUCGCUCUGGAUAAGAGCGUCUGCUAAAUGACUAAAA
rfam:Salmo salar isolate Sally breed double haploid chromosome ssa04, whole genome shotgun sequence.